rnacentral:rRNA from 1 species
UACGGGGGGGGCAAGCGUUGUUCGGAAUUACUGGGCGUAAAGGGCUCGUAGGCGGCCAACUAAGUCAGACGUGAAAUCCCUCAGCUUAACUGGGGAACUGCGUCUGAUACUGGAUGGCUUGAGUUUGGGAGAGGGAUGCGGAAUUCCAGGUGUAGCGGUGAAAUGCGUAGAUAUAGGAAGGAAUACCAGUGGCGAAGGCGGCCUCCUGGAUCGAUACUGACGCUGAGGCGCGAAAGCGUGGGGAGCAAACAGG